rnacentral:rRNA from 1 species
UACGUAGGGUGCAAGCGUUAAUCGGAAUACUGGGCGUAAAGCGUGCGCAGGCGGUGAUGUAAGACAGAUGUGAAAUCCCCGGGCUCCAACCUGGGAACUGCAUUUGUGACUGCAUCGCUGGAGUGCGGCAGAGGGGGAUGGAAUUCCGCGUGUAGCAGUGAAAUGCGUAGAUAUGCGGAGGAACACCGAUGGCGAAGGCAAUCCCCUGGGCCUGCGCUGGCGCUCAUGCACGAAAGCGUGGGGAGCAAACAGG